rnacentral:lncRNA from 1 species
CUCCUUUUCUCUAAUGGCAUCCUCUUGUCUCGUCCGGAAAGGAUUUGUCGAAAAUGUCGCAUUUGUUAUUCUCUCACUGUGAUCCCAAUUGAUUUCUUCUUCAUCUUCUUUUAUGAACCUGGCUUUCGCAUCUUCUUAGCUCUGGGCCAUUCCUCCGGUGAUUUUGGGUUGCAAUGGUUGGGAAAAUAUUUUUGUUAGAACUUUGUACUAACCGAAUGCUUCAGGAUGGUAUAUGAUUUCUGAAACAAGGUCAUAUGGAUUUGAAAACACCAGCUGGAUUCCGUUCAGAUCUCUGUUCAACUGGAAGACUUUCUCUUCCAUCUUGAUGUUGAAAUCUCUAGCCACAAUGUUGUAUUCUUCAAUACAUUUGCUUCCAUAAAAGAGCUGAGUUGUUCUUUCCAGGGGUAAGCAUCCAAAAGGAGAGAGUCCCGACAAAGACAUCUUCCGAGCUCCGAGUCUGUAUAUAUCUGUCACGAAAUCUGCUGCUAUUCCUAUCAGGAAAUAUUGGUACUCGUUCACUGAGUACUUCCGUAACUUGCGGGGAAGAAGAUAGUAAUUCUCCAGGAAAUCGUUGGUUCCGAUACUAAUCAGCUGAAGCGAAACAGACACCAGUGGCAAAGUCUGCAAUGUUGUAUGCUGGAUCUAGGUAGGCAGGGACUGCGUUCUUGAGUCCCAAACCUUCAGAAAUGAAGUCUGGUGCAAUCCGGCCAUUUGAAAAUCUCCCAGUCGCUUUGCCGUCAAAGUAAUCCCGGCCAUAUGGCUGGAAAUUGCUCUUCAGAACAGUAGAAAUCUGGUUGUUGUUGCCUGAAUCAACAGUUGAGUCACCAAAUACGAUAAGUGCGGGAAAUUUUGCACACGUUUCAGGUAUCUUCACCAAGAGCUGAGCUGCUAGCAACAAGAACGCAAGAACUCUGUUUCGCUGCAUGCUUUUUACACAAGUUUUUUCAAUUUUUUGCUUCUGCAAAACAAGAACCUCACGAUUAAUUGGGAAGAACAAUUGGAGCAAGCAUUUAAGAUGGAGAAAGAUAGGUAUCUUCUAUCAAACCUGACUAAAACAGAUUUAGCUCGUGUAGUUAAUACCUUGGCCUGUUGUUAGAUGAUGCUUAUUAAAUACUCCUUAGUCUGAUAUGUCUCUGUUUAUUUUUGGCCACAGAGAGUUAGUUGAGGUGAGUAAUGAGCUGAAAAUGAUUGAGAGUUUCAAUAAUAGUUGUGCAGCAGAGAGCCGUAUUUAUAGCUACUAAAAAAGAGAGAAAGACAGAAUAUUUUAAAAUAGAAGGAUUCGUACCAUUGCAAGCUUCAGAUGUAUAUGUAACGCAUCUUCCUUUUUACCGGAUUCACGCUCAAAACUCAACUCUCUGUUCUUGUAUCACUUACUGUUUUUAUUGCUUACUGAGUCUAGAGUCUUGAAUGUAAAGAUUAUUUGCACUUUGGGUGAACUGUGUCGCACGUUUUGG